rnacentral:rRNA from 1 species
AUUGAACGCUGGCGGCAUGCUUUACACAUGCAAGUCGAACGGUAACAGGCCUUCGGGUGCUGACGAGUGGCGAACGGGUGAGUAUGGCAUCGGAACGUACCCAGAGGUGGGGGAUAACGCAGCGAAAGCUGUGCUAAUACCGCAUGUGAUCUGAGGAUGAAAGCGGGGGACCGGGCAGCAAUGUUUGGCCUCGCGCCUUUGGAGCGGCCGAUGUCGGAUUAGCUAGUUGGGGGGGUAAAGGCCUACCAAUGCGACGAUCCGUAGCUGGUCUGAGAGGACGACCAGCCACACUGGGACUGAGACACGGCCCAGACUCCUGCGGGAGGCAGCAGUGGGGAAUUUUGGACAAUGGGCGCAAGCCUGAUCCAGCAAUGCCGAGUGCGGGAAGAAGGCCUUCGGGUUGUAAACCGCUUUUGGCAGGAACGAAACGGUGUCCGCUAAUACCGGGCGCUAAUGACGGUACCUGCAGAAUAAGCACCGGCUAACUACGUG